CAGCAGCCGCGGUAAUACGUAGGGUGCAAGCGUUAAUCGGAAUUACUGGGCGUAAAGCGUGCGCAGGCGGUUAUAUAAGUCAGAUGUGAAAUCCCCGGGCUCAACCUGGGAACUGCAUUUGAGACUGUAUGGCUAGAGUGUGUCAGAGGGGGGUAGAAUUCCACGUGUAGCAGUGAAAUGCGUAGAUAUGUGGAGGAAUAUCGAUGGCGAAGGCAGCCCCCUGGGAUAACACUGACGCUCAUGCACGAAAGCGUGGGGAGCGAACAGGAUUAGAUACCCCCGUAGUCCCUGUCUCUUAUAU
rnacentral:rRNA from 1 species